GGCCUGAUGGUCUAGAGGUAUGAUUCACCCUUAGGGUUUCUCCAAUGGGUGAGGUCCCCGGUUCGAUUCCGGGUUAGGCCC